rnacentral:rRNA from 1 species
AUGGAGAGACUUGUUAAUGUUCAUUACAUUGACAAGGAGGCAUUCUUGAGUAACAAUGCCGACACGGGUGAGGAACCAUUGGUUUUUGAUACAAGCCCUAGCUAUGAGGAUGUUGUUGCAAAAGUGAGACAAGUUUUGAAGUGGAUGGACACCAAUGUUGAUGUUAAAUUAAUAGGAAGGUAUGAUGUUGGAGUUGGAGCCAAAUCUCGCUUGAAAAGUAUGCCUAUCACCUCAGAUUUGCAUUGGGAUGUAUACAAGGAAAAAGUAUCCCAAUCGGAAGAUAAGUCACUUGAAUUGUUUGCCACCAAGGUUGAAUCUCCUCGGUUUAUCUUUGAUUUGAACCGGCAUGUCUCUUCCCCAAUGGAUGACAUGAGCGUUGAGUUGUAUGCCCCCAAUGCUUCUAGCCAACCACCAACUAGCCAAGCAAAUGAAGUUGAGGUGAUUGCUAGUGACGGAGUAAUUCAAGAGGAUGAAGAUGCUUAUGAUGACGACGAAGAGCAAGAGGAAGGGUUUCAUGGUAAUGAUGUUGGUGACUUGGAUGCGUACAUAGCGCAAAAGGACAUGGAUCGUGACUAG